GGAAGAUUGAGGUUGGAUGUCAGGGGGAAGUUCUUUGCUAUGAGAGCGGUGAGGUGCUGGAACAGCUGCCCAGAGAGGCUGUGGAUGCCCCGUGCAUCCCUGGAGGUGUUCAAGGCCAGGUUGGAUGGGGCCCUGGGCAGCCUGGGCUGCUAUGAAAUGUGGAGGUUGGUGGCCCUGCGUGUGGCAGGGGGUUGGAGCUUCGCGAUCCUCGAGCUCCCUUCCAACCUUGGCCGUUCUGUGAUUCUGUGACAAGGAGCGGUUCUGCACACCAUCUCCCGCACAGGCGGUGGGAUGGGUCCCUGUGCAGCCCCUCACCGC